rnacentral:rRNA from 1 species
UACGUAGGGUCCGAGCGUUUGUCCGGAAUUACUGGGCGUAAAGAGCUCGUAGGUGGUUUGUCGCGUUGUUCGUGAAAACUCACAGCUCAACUGUGGGCGUGCGGGCGAUACGGGCAGACUAGAGUACUGCAGGGGAGACUGGAAUUCUGGUGUAGCGGUGGAAUGCGCAGAUAUCAGGAGGAACACCGGUGGCGAAGGCGGUUCUCUGGGCAUUACCUGACGCUGAGGAGCGAAAGUGUGGGGAGCGAAACAGG